AACAGCAACCCUAGCUGCUGUCCUUUUAUUGGCAGCGUCGUCGUUGUUCGCCGGAGCUUGCCGCAGCUUGCCGGAGUUGCCGACAAAGAACCUUAAUUGCUGCCCUAAUUUCCAGCAGCCACACAAAACCCUUAGAAGAUCCGAGCUCGAGUGGAGCACGGUGACCUGCCGAUACUCGGAGAUUUUUGCUGUAUAUAAGUUUUGCAGACACAGGGAUCC